UGCGGGGCGCGCUGGCCGUCGCCGGCCGCCGCUGCGGAGCGCUGCUGCGGGCCGCCGCUCGGCCUGCCUUGUCGUCUGUGUCUCACACUCCGCCUCCCGUUCCCCUCCCCUCCGUCUCCUGCAUAUUUAUCGUCGGCUCACCGUCGUUCGUCGCCUCCUCCUCCUCCUCCUCCUCCUUCGCCUGCCCGAUGCGCCCGUAGCGAGCUGACAGCCGUAGGGUUUGCUGGAGUGGCGCCGCACGUCGCCCGUGGUGGGACUGGUUUCGGCGUCCAUUUCGGGUUGGAGCAGCCUCGGCUUCCGCACCGGUAAGCCGCCGAAGGCUGGAGGCGAGUCUGGCGGAGUGAAGAUCCACCUGAAAUUCGAUUGGUUUCUCGGAUAAGUUGGGGCGCUCGCCGGGGGUCCGCCAUGGUGGAGCGCAGAAGCUGGCCGGGAGCCGGCCGUGGGGUGCGGUGCGAGGGCCGGCGCCGCAGAGCCGGCCGUGGGGUGCGGCGCGAGGGCCGUCGCCGCGGGAGCCGGCCGUGGGGUGCGGCGCGAGGGCCGUCGCCGCGGGAGCCGGCCGUGGGGUGCAGACGCAUGGGCAACUGGCCGCCGCCGCUGCCAUCGUGGGAGAUUUUUUCUUUUUUUUUCUUACUUUUCUGAUUUCUGAAAUAGAGAUGUAUGUUGUAUGGAUUGCAUCUAUUUUGUGAACAACUUUUUGAAUAAUUUGUGGGAUCUAUGAGUAUUGUGAAUAUUCUGUCAAUUCAAUAAUUUGUGGAUCUAUGAAUAAUUCAGUAUUUUGUGGGAAC